CGAGUGGCGGACGGGUGAGUAAUGUCUGGGAAACUGCCUGAUGGAGGGGGAUAACUACUGGAAACGGUAGCUAAUACCGCAUAACGUCGAAAGACCAAAGAGGGGGACCUUCGGGCCUCUUGCCAUCGGAUGUGCCCAGAUGGGAUUAGCUAGUAGGUGGGGUAACGGCUCACCUAGGCGACGAUCCCUAGCUGGUCUGAGAGGAUGACCAGCCACACUGGAACUGAGACGCGGUCCAGACUCCUACGGGAGGGCAGCAUG
rnacentral:rRNA from 1 species